AAAUCCCACUUGGUCAAAUCAAAAUUGUUGGAAAGUUUGUGUUUUUAAUGUUGGUUCAUUUGAUGUUAAUUUACUGACAAAUCCUUUUUCCAUAGUGUCAGAGAUAGUCCAUUGCUGAUGACUACAAUUCUGAAAUGGUGGUCUGAAUUAUCUACUCCCACAGAUUCCCCGUGUGACCUACGCAUGCCUUUAUAUAGAUUUUUCUGUGUGCCUACUAUGUGCCAGGCAUUAUUAUGCAUUGAGGAUACAGAAAUAAAUAUGGUAGACAGCCCUUGCCCUCUCAGCUGUGGUGAAGACAGUAAGAUAGUUUAAUGAGUGUUAGGCAAUAGAGAGUAAAAUUUGAGAUUUAAACAAAGGGAACCAUGUUAUAAUUUUUUUAAAGCUGCUUGGAGGGGACAUGUCCCUGGAGGUCCAGGGGUUAAGACUACGCAAUGCAAGGGGCAUGGGUUUUACCCCUGGUCCAGGAACUAAGAUCCCACAUGUCCCAUGGCACAGCUGAAGGGAAAAAAAAAGUCACUUGGAGGAAGUUACCUGAAUGGUAAAUUGAGUUCAACCAGGGUUACCGUAUUAUUUACUAUCCAAACAGGGACAAUUUUCAAAGUGAAAACAAGCAUAAAGUAGGAUGUAUAAUCACCUUAAAUCUAACCAGUCAAAUGAGAAGUGUUUGAGGCAGAAAAAACUAUGUGAAAGAGGACAAGGCCCAUUAAGAUAACUAAAAAUCUUAAUUUAUUGAGCUGUAAACUGUGAGGGAAGAAAUUAGGUGAGAAAAGCAAAGACCAAAAUAUAAAGGUCUUGUAAAGUGGCAAGGAACUUGAGCUUUAGUCUAAGGACAAUGAACAUUCUAGGAGAAAGUGUGAGCAAAGAAGGUAUCCUUAGAGAUUAUUUGGAGGGGAAUGGAGAGUGGGUAUCGGUUUUGGGGGACAUGAAAUGUUCCACAGUUGUGUGACACAAAGACACUGAAUGGCACACUAUGUGCCUUACAGCUCGAUAAAGCUUUUUUCCUCCAGCUGAGAGAUGAAAACAGCUCUAGAUUACUGUGUUCCGAGUAAGGAUGAUUUCAAGAGAUAUUUAAGAGAACCUAUAAGGCCUUGUGACUGACAGGAUAUGGAGGUGAGGGAGAGGGAAAAAUCAGUUAACUUCCGAGAUUCUGGCUUAAGCAACAGGAUGGAUGAUGGUGCCAUUUACUGACAUAACCAGAACCAGAAAUGAGGGUGUGGAUGGAGAAAUAAAAAUGUCUAAUUUGAGAUAACUUUGAAAACAUUUAAGUUAUGGACUGUUUGUGCCCUCCCAAAAUUUGUUAAAUUGAAACUCUAAUCCCAACUAGGUGUUGGGAGGUAAGGCCACUGAGAAUUACGUCACGAGGGUGGAACCCUCAUGAAUCUAAGUAGUGGCCCAAGACAUCACUGAAUCUUCCUGCCACAGGAUACAAAGUUGGCAGUCUUCAAGUCAGAAGAGGAAUUUGUCAGAAUCUAACCAUGCUGGCACCCUGACCUUGAACUUCCAGCCUCCAGAACUGUAAGAAAUUUCAGCUUAUAAGCAACCUAAUCUAUGGUACUUUGUUAUAGCAGCUCCAGUUAAAACAGUAUCCAAGUUUGGCUCGGGUGAAGAUCUGGGCUGAAGAGAAUCAGCNNNNNNNNNNNNNNNNNNNNNNNNNNNNNNNNNNNNNNNNNNNNNNNNNNNNNNNNNNNNNNNNNNNNNNNNNNNNNNNNNNNNNNNNNNNNNNNNNNNCGGGUGAAGAUCUGGGCUGAAGAGAAUCAGCAGAAGUCAUUGAAGUGGAGUUUUGUUUAGGGCAUGUGUAAGACAUGGUUAGAGGUGAAAUUAGCAAGGGCCUGAGAGAAGGCUCUGAGGGGGGAAGAAAACCAGAGGAGCAUAACGUGACAAGUGCAGUUUAGAGUCUCAUAAAGUGUUCAACAGUGUAAAAUACUAUCACAUUUCAAAGUAAAAUGAGCAAAGUAUCCUCUGGACUUAAAAAAAUUCAAGUUUCAGUGGAGUAACAGUGGCAAAAACUAGACUCCUAUGAGUUUUGUGGUAAAUUGUGAGCUGUGAUUCCUCAAAGGACAAAUCAGGCAAGGGUUAGGUUUGUAAGUGGGAAAGAGGGAAAGGGUUGAGGAAGAUGAUUUUUACUUUAAAAAAGGUUUCAGUUCAGUUCAGUCGCUCA
rnacentral:lncRNA from 1 species